UACGUAGGGUGCAAGCGUUGUCCGGAAUUAUUGGGCGUAAAGAGCUCGUAGGCGGUCUGUCACGUCGGACGUGAAAAUCCAGGGCUCAACCCUGGACCUGCGUUCGAUACGGGCAGACUAGAGUUCGGUAGGGGAGACUGGAAUUCCGGGUGUAGUGGUGGAAUACGUAGAUAUCCGGAGGAACACCAGCGGCGAAGGCGGCUUUCUGGUCCGAUACUGACGCUGAGGUGCGAAAGCGUGGGGAGCGAUCCGG
rnacentral:rRNA from 1 species